AAUGGAAACCUAAAUUAAAAGUUCAUUCUCAAAUACAGACCGAAAACCCUAUAAUUUCGUCAUCAUUGUGUUCUCAUUCACAACCUUCAUCAUCAUCGUGUUCUUAAUCGCAAUUUUCAUUAUCAAUGGCAUCGUGUUCUUGUUUGAUUCUCGUUCAUUCUCCAUCGUGUCGCUCUUGUUCGUUCUCUUUUCGUCAUAGUCAUGGAGAACCACAUAACAUCUUUUGGAUCUUCCCCAAGCUGUAGAAAAAGUGAAGUAUUGUGAGAGGAAUGUAACCUUCAAUUUUUAUCUUGAUGUUGUUUUCUAAGUUUGGUGUUGUUGUUAUGUUUAUAUUGUCAUUGAUUUUGUUGUUUAAAUUUGGAAUUAUGGUUAUGUUUAUAUGAUAAUUGAUGUUGUUGUUUAAGUUUGGGGUUGUGGGUAUGUAACCUUCAGCUUUUAUCUUCAUGUUGUUACUCAUAUGCUAGAAGUGGUCCCCGUUGUUUUGUGGUUUGUUUUUUCUUUAAUAACCAUGUGGUCCAUAUCCGUCUUUGUUGUCUUUUAGUGAUUGAUUAGUAUACUCCAUAUUGUUUUGUACAGGCCAACACAAAGGGUUAGGUUAAGAACUCACCAUAGAGGUGAACUAGUUGAAUAAAUUAAAGAAACAACGCAGUUGGAAUUCGCAUAGCCAAAAGAAGGUUGGCUAAGAGAAUUUAAGGCAAGGAGUUUGCUAAAGACUUCCGAGCACAAUUCUCUAAGCAAAUUUUAAUUUUGUUGAGCCAACAUUAGGUGAUGUGAACAACUGGAAAUUGCUUCAUCAUGAAGAAUGCUUACCUGCAUAGCGAAUUAGAGAUUCGGGAGAGAUAUUGAAUUAGAAAGACAUUGGAAAAGGCUUUGAAUCCAUCUUGGAACAUCAAAUUUUACUCUUUUCAUCUUGAUUUUGUAAAGCUACCACGAAAACGAGUAGUUAAACUUCUCUUUGUUGAGAUUAAUGUAAUUAACUAUACUCAUGUGUAUCUCUUUUGAUCUUAAGUUAUUCAUCAAUACCAAUGUUUAUCUUUGCUUCUAA